rnacentral:rRNA from 1 species
UACGUAGGGUGCAAGCGUUGUCCGGAAUUAUUGGGCGUAAAGAGCUCGUAGGCGGUUUGUCGCGUCUGCUGUGAAAUUUCGGGGCUCAACCCCGAACUUGCAGUGGGUACGGGCAGACUAGAGUGUGGUAGGGGAGACUGGAAUUCCUGGUGUAGCGGUGAAAUGCGCAGAUAUCAGGAGGAACACCGAUGGCGAAGGCAAUCCCCUGGACCUGUACUGACGCUCAUGCACGAAAGCGUGGGGAGCAAACAGG